rnacentral:lncRNA from 1 species
AGAUCAUAGCAGAACUUCAGACAACCAUUUCCUCCCUGAAAGAGGAGAACAGCCGGCAGCAGCUUGCUGCAGAAAGGCGGCUCCAGGAUGUUAUACAGAAGUUUGAAGAUGAGAAGAAGCAGCUGAUUAGAGAUAAUGACCGAGCAAUCAAGGCUUUGCAAGAUGAAGUAGAAAACCGCUCGAAUCAAGUGCGAUGUAUAGAGAAAAAACUACAGCACAAGGAACUGGAGUCACAGGACCAGAUAACUUACAUACGACAAGAGUAUGAAACAAAAUUGAAAGGAUUGAUGCCAGCAUCGCUAAGACAAGAACUUGAAGACACUAUCUCCUCCCUAAAGUCACAGGUUAGCUUCCUGCAGAAAAGAGCAUCCAUCCUUCAAGAGGAGCUGACAUCGUACCAGGGCAGAAGGUAACUGCAUGAAGGCUUUACCUGCGCACCAGGAGAGUGUAGUGGAGUUAACUGUCUGGGCCGCAGUGUGGAUUUCUUCCAACAGGUUUGAAGGUUUCUGUCAAGUAAUCUGUGAGAUCCAUGACAUUUUAAAAUACUUAAAUGUAAUUAAGAUCAUAAAAACAUGCAUCACUCUGCACUAAUGGGAUGGCUUCACUCGUGUCUGCCUAAGUUAUUUUUUGAACAUUCCUUUAGUUCGGAUUUUCCAUUUCCGCGUGCAUUUGAGCGUGUACUGAGAAUUGGCUCUAUCGGGAAAAGAAAGGAUUUCUCGCCGUGCCUCGUUAAUGCUUUGGCGUAGAAUUUCACCAGUUGCGUCUGAUCGGAAUCCCGUUUGUAGUAUCAUAUCAGAACUUUUAACAUGUUUACAUUGUUUUCAUGUUCAUGUUCAUGUAUUAUUAAAAUAUUAUUUUGUACUUAGCAGUUUUAUUUCUACUUUUUUUAAAAAAUACUUCUACUUUUUAUGGCAUCUCAUUUGCUCAAACAAAAUUAUAUGGUACUUUUUUUCCCUAGAAAAUACUGACAGCCUCAAAUUGUGCUAUGGGAAAAAAAAAAAAAUACCUUCUGUCAUGUCAAAGGUCAAAUCCAUAAGCAGCACAUCUACUUAGGAUAAAAACCACUGAAUCAUCUCCCGUCAGUCCAAGUACUUGUUACCACGGUCUCCAGUCUCAUCUUGGGGUCCGGAGGCAGAGCUGUGUGAGAAUUUUAUGUAGCAGCUGCGGUUUUACUGUUACUUUCUCGACCUCUGAUGUUAUGGUUGUUGUUUAGUUGUAAAAUCAAUCGAUGCUCUGUGAAAAAGCCUACCAGGUACAGAGGUGCUGGGAGGAUGCUCGGCACACUAGCAAGUGAUGGCAGAAGGAGCUUUGUUUGGUUCUAUUUUCCUGGUCCAGAGACUGUGGCCUUGACUCCCACGGAGGGACGUGCAGGUCCCCUCCCGGAUGCCAGGGAGCAGUUUUGUGCUGGUCAGUCAGCGCCCAUUUGCCGAGGACGUUGUGAAUUGCAGUGGAUGCUUGCUUUGUGUUCUGCUGUCUGUGCUGUGGUGCGUGCCACGGGCCCUUUGAGACCCUCCAAAACUCUGGCCCGUGGGCAGGGCUGUAAUCAUCUGGUUUCCCGGGAAUGGACAGGGCAGAGCAUUUAUUUACCGUCUUUCAAAUUCUUUUCUCUUUCCCACACCCUUCUUUGUUGUCGGCUGCCCAGGGAUUAAUUGCCCUUUUUUGUACGGUAACUGAGACAUGGAGAUGAUAAGGAAGCAACAGAUUUUAUAGCCACUUCCAAAGCCAGGGCCGGAAUCUGUGUAAGCGCUGCCUUGUGGCCGGCAGCCAUCAGUAAGGCCUCACAUUGGUGCACUGAAUCACCUCUGCCUGGUCACCGCUCUGCCUGGGGAGGGUCAUCUGACACCUCCUCCAGGAAUCCAAGUCUCUACCCUUUGAAAGCUCGGGUUUUUCUUGUAUGUACAAUAAAUUACAGCGCUGGCUUAAAAAAUAUCCAAGAAAAAAAAUUGUAUCAGAUGCUGUUGAAACUACUUAACAAAGAAAGACAGUUGGUACUCAGACUGUGAUUUAGUACUUGGAAGGCAAAGAUUGUGACCACUGAUUAAUUUUAAGUACUUCUGUACAGACCGUGGAAAACAGGCUGAAGCUCAACAGAUUUCAUUAGGAGUCAUUAGCUGCUUGAAGUGAACAUGCUUCGGGAAUUGCAUUGUGGGCUGGAAAUGGAAUUCCCACUCAAGAAUAUUUGUUUUCCGUGCAUAAACAUCAGUAGGUGUUUUGGAGAGUUGCCAGCUAUUCUUUCCUUUCCUCAUUUCAAGGGUUAUGAAAUUACAGACACCAGUGAACCUCUGACACAAACCCCAGAUCCUGUCUCUUUGGAAGCAGGUCAUGGGCGUCUGGGGGUAAACGGACUGAAACUUUGGGUCAGUUUGAUUGUAUGUGAUGGGAAUUAGGUGAUGGACACUAAUGUUUUUGUGAACAUUCUCUGGUAAAGGAAGAGAAAGAAAAAAAUUGCACAUGGCAUGUUUAAAAUUCCUUCCUGAAUUGAGUGCUCCGUAUAUAAAUGGCUACUGUGAGAGAAAGCAAGUGCUCGGGAAAUAAAUUAUAAACGGCGUGCCUUAUUUUAAAAUCAUCCAAGAUGUCAGCCUUUCUUUUAUCUGGUGGAAGAUCACUUGUUCAUCACACGUACUUGAUUUAGUUACAUUUCAAGCAGUUAUUAUCAGCUACUACCCCCCUCAAGUCAAGCACCUGUGCUUUUUUACAUGUCACCACAUAAUUGGCAACAGGUAGUAGCUGAUGGAGCCUAUGGAACAAGCUGGGCAGAAGGAAAGCCAGGGACCUCGGGGGCCUUGGUGUGGAUGCUUAUCCAUUAGGGUGUCGGGCAGGAGAAGGGUUCACGGGACUGUUGGGUGUCAGUCAUCAGCAGAUGCCAGGAUUUUGUUUGAAGCCACCAUCUCUGCAUCACGGAACAGUGGGCUGUUUCAGGGGCCUGACCUCUGGUGUUCCCUCGUCCCCACUUAACAGUCCACUCCUAUCCAGGGAUGCGAUGGAAAAAGCAAAGGACUAGGAGAGGGGGAAUGGAGGAUGGAUGGGCUUGCUUCCUGGUUUGUGCAAAAGUCCUGACCAUGACUCAAGGGCGAUAGCUCAGAUUCAAACCUUAGCCUGUAGUGUCACAUGUUAACAGUGCCUUCCUCGGAAACGGGCGCAGGCUUAACAGUGGCGAGCAACCUCAUUAAAAGAAUCUGCAGAGAAAGUGCAGAAAGAGGAAACUGAGUCUGAAUUAACAAUUAACAAGUUUCUUAUUGAAGUGCAUUACCAUCUGCAGAAGGCAGUGGCGUCCCGACUUUUCUUUCUCAGAGUCAAAAGGAAAGGUGAAACAUCAAAAAUGGCGGGAGGAAAGUUUCAGAACACAAGGUCAUUUUAAUUCAUAGUUUCCUUAGAAGAACUAUCUCUUCUCAGCUUUCAUAUUUUGUUCAGAAAGGUCGUCUCUUUUAAGCCUUGUCAUUAAAGACGGUUUGCUCUUUAAAGUGAAUUAUCAAAGGGUGCAGAAAUUGCAAGUUACUGAAACUAAAAUGCAUGAUCAAUUUUAAGUCUGCUAACUAAAGCUUACUUAAAAUUGGAUGUGCUUUUGCCCUGGCAGCCCCUUUGAUAAAACCAGAAAAAGAUAUGUGGUUGGUCAAUUCAAAGUAGGAAAAGAAGAUAAUUAGAUAAAACUUUUGUCAACUAUUGAAGUAGGCUCUUGGAUUUGGAGACUUGAUUAGGAAGUCGUAGCAUAGGCUGUGAUAGUAGUUGAAAAGUAAAAAUUGAAGAUCCCAGAUUCUGACCUGUAUUAACAUUCUUCAGUAUAGUUUUAAAAACCGAAUCAAACUUCAGAUCAUAUUAUUUACUUCUCACAUGGGAAAAGAAAAAUGGAAUUUGAAACAUAAGCUUGAAGGAAUUUUAAAAUCUGGAUCCCUCACCAAGGUCUAGUUCAGCUGGACACCCAUUCUUCUAGACAUUGAAGCUUUAAGCAAGGAUUUCCAUCAGGCAAAUGUUUUAAAAUCAAAGGCCCAAGAUGUUACUAGAGAUUCUGCUGGUUUUAGAACUGAGCUCAGUCUAGAUGUCAGGCUAAUAAAUACGCUUAUAUCCUCUUUGGGAGUCUACUGUUUAAGCGAGGUCUUAAUGGAAAACAGCUAGCUGGACACAAAGACUUCAUCAUGAAGCAAAAUGAGAGGGCUCCCUAGUGAGAAGCCUGGCAUAUCUAAUUAGCUAAAAACGGGGCUAGAGGAGUGAAGCCAUUCGUCCACACCCCUUCACUUCCACCAGAAGGGGAAUCAGUUCAUAGGUGGAGUCUACUCACUAGCUUUGUUUCCCUAGAUGAUUGUCCACCUCCUGGGGCUGCACUCUCUAAUCGAGCUCAUAAAGGGCACAACCAGACCAAUACUUCCUAACCUGUACCGCUUCAUCCUCUAAUUCGGUGUGUCUCAAACUCACACUCCGUCAAGUGCUGUUCUGUAUGAUUUGUCUUCAGACACUCCGACGUCCCGUUUAGGAAAUGUGACAGGCUAUAGCCCCCUCUGCAAGAUUCGCAUUUACAUCAUGGCCCAGUCGUUCAUUCAGUAAAUAGCUGUUGGUCACCUGUUAUGUGCUGGACAGCUCAUCCACCACCUGGAACCCAGGGCUUAAAACACUCAUUUAUUAUCACCACGCUCACUGCUGAGAGUUGACUGGGCUCAGCGAGGCUGUCUCGGCCAGAUGUGGCUACAGUCGUGGAAGGCUUCCCGGGCUCAAACCCAUGGUGGUCCACUUGGCACGGCAGCUGUGAGGAGCCCUCAAGAGCAAGCCCACCGAGAGACCAACCACAGAAGCCACCAGCCAAAUAAAGUCCAGGCCCAGAAAUUAGCAUUGUGUCGCACCUACUAAUUUUUGUCAAAGACAGAGGCCACCAGAGAGACCUCAGCAAGGUCAGAGAUUCUAUGGCCAUCUCUUUGGUAAAGAAACCUAUCUAGGAGUUCCCGUCGUGGCGCAGUGGUUAACGAAUCCGACUAGGAACCAUGAGGUUGCGGGUUCGGUCCCUGGCCUUGCUCAGUGGGUUAACGAUCCGGCAUUGCCGUGAGCUGUGGUUUAGGUUGCAGCCGUGGCUCGGAUCCCGCGUUGCUGCGGCUCUGGCGUAGGCCGGUGGCUACAGCUCCGAUUCGACCCCUAGCCUGGGAACCUCCAUAUGCCUUGGGAGCGGCCCAAGAAAUGGCAAAAAGACAAAAAAAAAAAAAAAAAAAAAA